rnacentral:rRNA from 1 species
CACGUAGGGCGCAAGCGUUGUCCGGAAUUAUUGGGCGUAAAGAGCUCGUAGGCGGUCUGUUACGUCUGCUGUGAAAACCCAGGGCUUAACCCUGGGCUUGCAGUGGAUACGGGCAGACUAGAGGCAGGUAGGGGAGAAUGGAAUUCCCGGUGUAGCGGUGAAAUGCGCAGAUAUCAGGAGGAACACCGGUGGCGAAGGCGGGUCUCUGGGCCGUAACUGACGCUGAGGAGCGAAAGCGUGGGGAGCGAACAGG